rnacentral:sRNA from 1 species
AGCUGACUGUGGCGGCGGCGGCCUCGAGGUGACAACUGUCUCUGUCGCAGGCUCCGGCGGGGGCGCAGGAGGUCGCCCGGCGCGUCACUGUCGGGUCGGCGAGCCACGGGGGCCGCCGCAGCACCAUGGCGACCACCGUCAGCACUCAGCGCGGGCCGGUGUACAUCGGUGAGCUCCCGCACGACUUCCUCCGCAUCACGCCCACACAGCAGCAGCGGCAGGUCCAGCUGGACGCCCAGGCGGCCCAGCAGCUGCAGUACGGAGGCGCAGUGGGCACCGUGGGCCGACUGAACAUCACGGUGGUACAGGUGGGCCUUGGGGCACCCUCCUGCCUGCCUGGGGCUGGUGCGCUCGGUGGGGGUGGGAUUGAGGAUUUCGGCGUUUAUACUGCAUUUCCUAAGCGGGCAAACAGAACUUCUGAUUCCCGCUUUUCCUGAAACCUGUGUGAUGUUGAAAACGAUCUGUGUGAAAGAUAUUGGCAUUGACCCCGGGUUCUACCAAACAUAACUCAAGUGAUGAGUAGUGGGUAUAGGUGGGCGUCUGCUCUGUGUAGGGCCUGGCUCUUCCACCCGGCUU